AUAUUUACCUGGCAGGGGAGAUACCGUGACCAUGAGCAAAGGUGGUUUUCACAGGGCAAGGUUUAUCCAUUGCACUCUGGAUGUGCUGACCCCUGCAAUUUCCCCAAAUGCGGGAAACUCAACUGCGUAAUUUGUGGUAGUGAGGGACUGUGUUCGAGCUCUAA